CCUACGGGUGGCAGCAGUGAGGAAUAUUGGUCAAUGGACGAGAGUCUGAACCAGCCAAGUAGCGUGAAGGAUGACUGCCCUAUGGGUUGUAAACUUCUUUUAUAUGGGAAUAAAAUGUUCCACGUGUGGGAUUUUGUAUGUACCAUAUGAAUAAGGAUCGGCUAACUCCGUGCCAGCAGCCGCGGUAAUACGGAGGAUCCGAGCGUUAUCCGGAUUUAUUGGGUGUACAGGGAGCGUAGGUGGAUUGUUAAGUCAGUUGUGAAAGUGUGCGGCUCAACCGUAAAAUUGCAGUUGAAACUGGCAGUCUUGAGUACAGUAGAGGUGGGCGGAAUUCGGGGUGUAGCGGUGAAAUGCUUAGAGAUCACGAAGAACUCCGAUUGCGAAGGCAGCUCACUGGACUGCAACUGACACUGAGGCUCGAAAGUGUGGGUAGCAAACAGGAUUAGAUACCCGUGUAGUC
rnacentral:rRNA from 1 species